UACGUAGGGCGCAAGCGUUGUCCGGAAUUAUUGGGCGUAAAGAGCUCGUAGGCGGUUUGUCGCGUCUGCUGUGAAAACUCGAGGCUCAACCUCGGGCUUGCAGUGGGUACGGGCAGACUAGAGUGCGGUAGGGGUGACUGGAAUUCCUGGUGUAGCGGUGGAAUGCGCAGAUAUCGGGAGGAACACCAAUGGCGAAGGCAGCUCGCUGGGACGGUACUGACGCUGAGGCGCGAAAGCGUGGGGAGCAAACAGG
rnacentral:rRNA from 1 species